UACCGCUCAUGCCAGUAGUGUGUGCUGCCAGUUAAAUUUAUGAGAAAAACAAUAAAACAUGAUAAACCAAGCAUCAAACUGUGGGAAUCAAUACUGAAUAAUGGAUUUGAGGUAUAUGUUAAGCAAAGGGAGCACUAAACAGAACGGAAGAUUUUAGAAGCAUACAAGUAGCAAAUACCCAAAGCACAAGACAAUAGAACACAUAGAUGAAUAUUGGUAUAACAUUGAUGAGUCCUUUAACGUACAAAAUCCAUUAGUAAAACAGGAAAUGAACAAUGCUUUUCAAUUUAAAUGCUAUCAAAUUGGACUUGGAUAAACGUAUCUGAUAUAGGUAUACGGCCCAGUGUGGCUAGCCUAUUUAAAAAAUUUCACAUUUUCUAAAUAGUUUUAAGUGUCAAAAAAUCAUCAUAACUAUGCUAAUGUAGCCUUUUUUGACAUGGCUACUUUAGAAUAAAGUUAAAAGUCAAAGCAGCUAUGAUGAUUAAUGAGAGAGAGAGCCAACAUCGUUAAAAAGAUCAUUCAAUGAUUAGUGAUUAGUUCAAUGUUGUGACUCAAAUCUAACUUCCAACAACCAUGGAACUUUCACUCCAACUCCAAACAUGGAAAUGAAUACAAACAAGUAUUUUUACUCCACUUAACAAAGACAAGUCCAGUGUUACUCCACCCACCCCAUGGUGUAGUUUGUUUUCAGUCCUUUGUGUUCCAUUUUGACAUAAGAGUUUUGUUUGUUUAUAACCAGAAUAGCUUAAUCCUAUGACAAGAGAUAACUCAGGAAUGCAAUUCUUUCCUUCAAAGUAAUUUGAUAGAUAACUCUUAACAUUGAUAAUUUGACCCUUCUACCCCCCAAUGCCUUCUUAUUUUCUCCUAUACAAAUUUUUAACGUGAAUAGUUUCACCUCCUAACAUAUAAACAUCCAUUACAAGAUAGCAACAUACUGUCAUUUUGAUGUACUGUCAAUAUUUUCAGACAAACUAUGUAUAAAAGCAAAAGGCUUGAAGAUGAUAAAAAAGUGCUCUCAGUGCAUGAAGCUUCCCACUUUGAUGAUCACAAAAAACAGAAGAAAAUUUUGCAGUAGAUAUUAAUAAAUGGCACAUCCAAACCCACUUGCCUGUUGCGCAUCAAGUACACACAGAGAGAGAGAGAGAGAG
rnacentral:misc_RNA from 1 species